GGUGGGAUAGCUCAGAAGGUUAGAGCAUAGGAUUCAUAAACCUAAGGUCGGUGGUUCGAUUCCACCUCUCACCA
rfam:Candidate division WS6 bacterium GW2011_GWF1_35_23 TR73_C0033, whole genome shotgun sequence.